rnacentral:rRNA from 1 species
AACGAACGCUAGCUACAGGCUUAACACAUGCAAGUCGAGGGGAAACGAUAUUGGAAGCUUGCUUCCGAUAGGCGUCGACCGGCGCACGGGUGAGUAACGCGUAUCCAACCUGCCCAUCACUUGGGAAUAACCUUGCGAAAGUAAGACUAAUACCCAAUGAUAUCUCUAGAAGACAUCUGAAGGAGAUUAAAGAUUUAUCGGUGAUGGAUGGGGAUGCGUCUGAUUAGCUUGUUGGCGGGGUAACGGCCCACCAAGGCGACGAUCAGUAGGGGUUCUGAGAGGAAGGUCCCCCACAUUGGAACUGAGACACGGUCCAAACUCCUACGGGAGGCAGCAGUGAGGAAUAUUGGUCAAUGGGCGAGAGCCUGAACCAGCCAAGUAGCGUGCAGGAUGACGGCCCUAUGGGUUGUAAACUGCUUUUAUAAGGGAAUAAAGUGAGCCUCGUGAGGCUUUUUGCAUGUACCUUAUGAAUAAGGACCGGCUAAUUCCGUGCCAGCAGCCGCCGUAAAAC